GAACGCUGGCGGCGUGCCUAAUACAUGCAAGUCGAACGGUCUUUCUAUGGAAGCUUGCUUCCACUGAGAAGAUAGUGACGAACGGGUGAGUAACACGUGGGUAACCUGCCCAUAAGAGGGGGGAUAACAUCCGGAAACGGGUGCUAAUACCGCAUAGUUUUCUUGAUUGCAUGAUUGAGAAAGGAAAGACGGCCUUUGUGCUGUCGCUUAUGGAUGGACCCGCGGCGUAUUAGUUAGUUGGUGAGGUAACGGCUCACCAAGACGAUGAUACGUAGCCGACCUGAGAGGGUGAUCGGCCACAUUGGGACUGAGACACGGCCCAAACUCCUACGGGAGGCAGCAGUAGGGAAUCUUCCGCAAUGGACGAAAGUCUGACGGAGCAACGCCGCGUGAGUGAAAGAAGGUUUUCGGAUCGUAAAACUCUGUUGUCAGAGAGGAACAAGUUGGAGAGUAACUGCUCCAGCCUUGACGGUAUCUGACCAGAAAGCCACGGCUAACUACGUGCCAGCCGCCGC
rnacentral:rRNA from 1 species